rnacentral:rRNA from 1 species
GACGUAGGGCGCGAGCGUUGUCCGGAUUUAUUGGGCGUAAAGAGCUCGUAGGCGGCUUGUCGCGUCGAAUGUGAAAACUUGGGGCUCAACUCCAAGCUUGCAUUCGAUACGGGCAGGCUAGAGUUCGGUAGGGGAGACUGGAAUUCCUGGUGUAGCGGUGAAAUGCGCAGAUAUCAGGAGGAACACCCGUGGCGAAAGCGGCUCUCUGGGACGGUACUGACGCUGAGACGCGAAAGCGUGGGGAGCAAACAGA